UACGUAGGGUGCGAGCGUUAAUCGGAAUUACUGGGCGUAAAGCGUGCGCAGGCGGUUCGUUAAGUUCGAUGUGAAAGCCCCGGGCUCAACCUGGGAACUGCAUUGGAAACUGGCGAGCUUGAGUAUGGGAGAGGGAUGUAGAAUUCCAGGUGUAGCGGUGAAAUGCGUAGAUAUCUGGAGGAAUACCGGUGGCGAAGGCGGCAUCCUGGACCAUUACUGACGCUGAGGCGCGAAAGCUAGGGGAGCAAACGGG
rnacentral:rRNA from 1 species